AUUGAACGCUGGCGGCAGGCCUAACACAUGCAAGUCGAACGGUAGCACGGAGAGCUUGCUCUCGGGUGACGAGUGGCGGACGGGUGAGUAAUGUCUGGGAAACUGCCCGAUGGAGGGGGAUAACUACUGGAAACGGUAGCUAAUACCGCAUAACGUCGCAAGACCAAAGUGGGGGACCUUCGGGCCUCACACCAUCGGAUGUGCCCAGAUAGGAUUAGCUAGUAGGUGGGGUAAUGGCUCACCUAGGCGACGAGCCCUAGCUGGUCUGAGAGGAUGACCAGCCACACUGGAACUGAGACACGGUCCAGACUCCUACGGGAGGCAGCAGUGGGGAAUAUUGCACAAUGGGCGCAAGCCUGAUGCAGCCAUGCCGCGUGUAUGAAGAAGGCCUUCGGGUUGUAAAGUACUUUCAGCGGGGAGGAAGGCGGUGAAGUUAAUAGCUUCACCGAUUGACGUUACCCGCAGAAGAAGCACCGGCUAACUCCGUGCCAGCCGCCGCGGUAA
rnacentral:rRNA from 1 species